rnacentral:lncRNA from 1 species
CAUCCUGUUGCAAAAACUCAAGCUUUUUUUUUCUGAUACAAUAUGACUUACUCGCAGAGUCUCAUUGAAUCAAUUAUAUCUUCAGUUUAGGCAAAUAAACUUCCAAGAAAUCAAACCACUAACCUAGGCUCAUCAUCUCCAAAUCAGGCCAAUUCUAAGCCUCAUUUUCAAUUGGACUGUCCAAAUAAAAAGAAUCGUUAUCUUCAUCAUCACAAUUUUCAUCUAUGACAAUCGGAAGUACUAAGUCUUUGAUCUGAUCACGACACC